ACUUUUGGGGGGCGCAGCUAACGCAUUAAACAUUCCGCCUGGAGAGUACGUUCGCAAGAUUAACACUCAAAGGAAUUGACGGGGGCCCGCACAAGCGGUGGAGCAUGUGGUUUAAUUAGAAGCAACGCGCAGAACCUUACCAGCCCUUGACAUACCGGUCGCGGACACAGAGAUGUGUCUUUCAGUUAGGCUGGACCGGAUACAGGUGCUGCAUGGCGGUCGUCAGCUCGUGUCGUGAGAUGUUGGGUUAAGUCCCGCAACGAGCGCAACCCUCGCCCUUAGUUGCCAGCAUUUAGUUGGGCACUCUAAGGGGACUGCCGGUGAUAAGCCGAGAGGAAGGUGGGGAUGACGUCAAGUCCUCAUGGCCCUUACGGGCUGGGCUACACACGUGCUACAAUGGUGGUGACAGUGGGCAGCGAGCACGCGAGUGUGAGCUAAUCUCCAAAAGCCAUCUCAGUUCGGAUUGCACUCUGCAACUCGAGUGCAUGAAGUGGGAAUCGCUAGUAAUCGCGGAUCAGCAUGACGCGGUGAAUACGUUCCCGGGCGUUGUACACACCGCCCGUCAC
rnacentral:rRNA from 1 species